rnacentral:lncRNA from 1 species
AAGGCCCCAGGUACACUCUGAGAGAACAACUGAUUCCAGGACUAGCUGCUUCCCAAGACGGGUCUCCCAGGAGAAUGUUUUCUGUCCAUUUCCACUAUUUCUAAAAAUAAGAGGCUCAAAAUCUUAAUCUGAACUUAUUACCUCUAUGUUCCUGGUAAUAUAGUAACAGCCACAGUUCAUCUAUCUAGGCCAUAGAUGUGCUGGGCACAUUACACUUAUCACCAUCUUUUCACCCUCAGAAAGAAUCAAAGACAGAUUUGCUAAUCAGCAAUCAGCGCCUGAUUUGAGAACCUCGGGGAGGUCAGGAGUUGACGAAAUUCAUGUAGCUUGAGAAGUGUAGAGCUCUGUCAAUGGGAAACAUAGUCAUAUCUGGCCAGGAAAGGAAACGGAAAACAGAACCACAACAUGCUGAGCGUAAUUAGUGUGCUCGGCAUUUGAUGAACACUUUCUCAUGAAAUCCAGACAAUACAGCACUUGGAGGUCAAGCUGCUGUGGGCAUCAGGAAAACAUAACUAAGAAGAGCCAUUCGAUUUAAGUAUCGCCUGCAACAGGGCUUUGUUAUGAAACGACCCCUGAUCCCUGUGCUUCACAUGUCUGGUGGGAAAUAGAUCAGCUCUGCAACAGUGUGAAGACCCCUAUCCUUGGUGCCCCAGAACUGCAACUCACAUAUUCUAAUAUGUCAAAUAAAAUCUAGGUUCUAAUGC